GGAGCAGUAGCUCAGAUGGUCAGAGCAACAAUAUUACUUUCCGCUGUUGGCAGACAAAGUUCCUAUAUAUCCCAAUUGUGGGUCGCAGGUUCGAGUCCUGCCUGCUCCU
rnacentral:tRNA from 1 species